UUCCACCCUUAUGCCCCUGUGGAAGAGAAAAUAGAUUUUGCAUUCAAGCUGUAUGAUUUGAGACAAACUGGUUUCAUAGAGCGAGAAGAAGUCAAGCAGAUGGUGGUUGCGGUAUUUGUUGAAUCUGAAAUGGAACUCUCUGAGGAAGUCUUGGAGCAGAUAAUUGAUAAAGUAAGA